CAAAUGUUCAUUGUUAUGUCAGGAAGGAAACAGAUAUUUAUCUGUCCUGAAAACAUGUCAGCUUAAGAGAAUGUUAUAUUUCAUUUUUGAAAAUUUCAAGCACAUAGUAGUCCGUUUCAUGCAUUCUGCCAUAGUAUCUACCACAUCUCAGCAGAAUUCAGAAUCAGUUGGAAGGCCUACAAUGGGGACAUUGAAUGGUUAUGCAAUAUGACAUAUCUGUGUAUCUUACAUGUAUUACAUUGUAAACAAGUUCUUGUGGUCCUAUGUUGAUAUAUUGACUGUAUAACUGUAGUUCUUAUUGUAUUAGGAUAUACAGGUAUUAAAGUUUAAAAAAG
rnacentral:sRNA from 1 species